rnacentral:rRNA from 1 species
GCAAGUCGAACGGAGCUUUUCGGAGCUAAGUGGCGGACGGGUGAGUAACGCGUGAGAAUCUACCUUUUGGAGGGGGACAACACUGGGAAACCAAUGCUAAGACCCCAUAGGCUGAAAAGUGAAAAACGAAAGUUGCCAAGAGAGGAGCUCGCGUCUGAUUAUCUAGUUGGUAGUGUAAAAGACAACCAAGGCGACGAUCCGUAGCUGGUCUGAGAGGAUGGCC